AGGAGCUCUUGUUCUUUUUUUAAUUUUAUUUGAGUUUAAUUACUCUUCUGGUGUCUCUACAGUUGAAACUUAUAUUUUGAGUUAAGUUCAAUAGCGUUCCGUGUUCUCUCUCCAAAACACACGCGCAUCCUGAAUUUCUGAUUAGCGAGAUACAAUCAGAGAGCCUAAACACGGUGCAAGAGAAAUUUCUGAGUUCUGCUUAGUUUUCCUCUAUUCUUUCGUGGAAAAUUUCUGGACAUUUCAGGAAGCAUUUAAAUGCAGAGAGAUUCAUCUGUUGAAGUAUUGAGGUGGAUCCGGGCAAGUGCUUCUUACACAGACAGUUGUUUUUAUAAGUGUGUCGCCAAGUUGUUUUACCAUAUCGACUUACAAUUGCUCUUGCUAAGAGAGUAAGAGGUCAUCUCACACAUAGACACUGUUAUGCUUAUCCUUUAUAUGAGUAAUGUACCAUUUUAUGAUCUUUUGUGAUUCAUCUUGGUGUUUUUGGUACUAUUACACCUUAGAUGUUUUCCCAGAAAAAAAAUAGUAGUUUGAUUGCCAAGGUGAUGGCAGUUUCCACAUAGUAUGCUCCUCAUUUUUUUGUCAGUUAGCGCUUAGUAAAUUUUAAUUGAUAUUGAAUUACAUUUCUACAUGUAUCUUUUUAAUGUGUAUAUGAUUUUAUGAAAUUUAACAUUUGUAGAUGCACAAAUACAUAUGUUUUUUUAGAGAUAUAAGAAGUUGCCAAACAUGAUUGAAGGUCAGAGCACACUGUGUGCUAUGUCUAACUUCAUGCUCAUUAGAUAUUUUUAUUUUCAAUUCAAUCAGCACAUGAUUCCUUCUUCUUUUUUUUCAUAUUGUUAAACAAAAUGCAGAUCCUAAUCAUAUUUUCUUGAGUUGCUGAAUUAGAUUGUUUCUUUACAACUAUCCAUUUGGACGAUGAUGCCACUUGCCUGAUUUACUCACAGGUUAUUUUGGUGAAAUGAAAACUAAAUUUUUGAUUUUGAGAAGAGGGAAAAUUUUUGGAGGUCCAAGCGGACCUUAAUGUCGGGCUUCAUUUUCUUGAUGCCACAGGAACACUUUCACGUGGUGUUGCUUAUCUUGAAUGUUUGAGAAGUCUUUUCUGUAUUUUAAUAUAUAGUUGGUCAAAUAUUUUUCUCCUUGACUAUACUUUUUAAGAAACAGAGCUCUUCAAAUAUGGCUUCCUACUAUUUGAUCUAUAUGGCUAACUCUAGAAUUUGAAUUCUUAAAUUUUGCUUGGAUAUAAUUUCUAAAAAUACGUUGCACUUCUUACCACUUGAUGCUUGAUGGAUUGAAGAUAUACAUGUUAACGAAUUAGAGCUUAAUUAGAUUUCAAAUUCAGUGAGAUUCAAAUGAGGAAAAAGAAAUAAAGAAUUAUCUCAAACAAGUCAAAAGAAUCAAACCCAAAAUUAGAAACGCUUUACUGGAAUUCUUGCACAAAUGUCUCAUAAUCCUCUGGAAGAGGAAAUGGGCAUAUGGAAAACCAAAUACCAAAUUGCUUUUCUAUAUUUUUUCCGUCCACAGCUGACAUUAUUCUCUGGUCUCCUCCAAUCAUGCUUUUAUGUCUUUGAUGAUUUUGUUUUCUUGGACAUCUCUUUAAGUAUGUUGCUCUCUGUCAUUAUUUUUUUUAGAAUACUUUAAAGAUGAGCACAAUUGGUUGCCUUAUUAAUUUGGUUUUCUUCAAUGUGAUUGCUCUUCGAGUAGGAACUCCCUAGGUUCUUGCAAUGAUGAUUAGUGGUUCAAGGAUCCUUGAGUGUAUUUUUAGCGAUAAUCUCAUUACUUCUCGGUUAUGUAUUUAAGCAGUCAUAACCAGUAUACAAGUACUCUUUGUAUCCGGCAUAACAUUUAAAAACAACUUUAUUGCAUUGUCUUAUCUGGAAAAAAUAUUCACCUGAAAAAACUUUACACUAAAACUUGUUUUUGUGUUUGUCACCUCUACAUACAUCUUUUUUUCUAGCUACUGUGCUCGUGGGAUUACGAUAAUUCAAAUUAUAUUAUGUUGUUUUUUUCAGUUAUCAGCCAGAUUGUGGUACUUAUCAUGUUAUCUGAUUUUUUUAGACAUUGUAGAAUAUAUAAGACUACGGACUAAAGUUUUAUUCUAAUGUUCUUGACCUAAGCAAAAGAAAAAGUCUUAUGUUCCAUUGUAAUAGCUUAUAUUCAGGUUAACAUAUCAUUUUCCCAGAAACAAAGAGCAAUUCAAUGAAAUCAACGAUCCACAGCAGAAAGGCUUCAUUUGGUGAACCCUUAACAAAAUUUUCUUAUGAUGUUUCUACGACAAGGUUGAUGAUCGUAGAGAAGCAAACUGUUGUUUAGUUCCCUAAAUUUGGCUAAAUACACAACGAUAUAAGGAACCUGACUGGUUGAUUCAUGGUUUUAUGUGAAGUAGAAUUGCUUCCAAUGCUUUUAUUUAUCAUUUAUAAUUAGUAUAAAGCUGAACUUAUCAGCUUUGCUGGCUCUUAUGUUUUUGAUCACUUAAUAGAUUUUCAUGUCUUUUGGAUUCCUGUAGUUAGGUUUUGGAUAUAUUACCCUUGAGGUUUUGGUAAUAGAAGUUCGUGGGUACAUAUUAUCCUAGAGAUUAGCAAAAAACAGAACUUAAAAGGGAGAUGACUAUUUUUUAAGGUAAAAGUUUACCUGCAAACUGAAACGAAGAAAAGUAUAUCAUAGUCUAAUCUGAAGGAUAAAUGGCAUGUGAUAAGUGAUAACUCCUUUUCUGUUUUUUGUCCUCAAGUGAUUGAAGAAUAAUGAAACUCUUACAGGAUUAUUUAUUUAUCAAAAAUUAUGGUGAAAUUAGCCCUCUGUUCAUUUGAUGUUACUUGGAUGUGCGGAUAUUAAUAUACUUUUUGAGAAUGUCUCUGUCAUUUUCUCGCUUCAAGUUUGGACGAUCUAAUUUUUCUUAGAGUGCAAAAUGGUGCAGCUCUAAUUUUUCUUAGAGAUGCAAUGGUGCAGCUCAGCUCUAGAAAAUCUGGAUCAUCUAAAUAAUUUAUGAGCGAUCCAGGAGUUUCUGGACGCGGAGGGUGUUGAUAGUUCUUGUAGCUGACCAUUGGAGAUUGUGAGGUAGCUGUUGCCUGGCGUUCGCGGACCUUGUUUUCUCCUUCCUCAUCUAUUUCUUUCGUUGUAUUUAGAUCCAAGUUGUUAUAGUCGUUUCAUUUCUAGACUGACUAUGUAUAGACGCUCAUGACAUAGUGACACCCCGAUAUUGGGAGUUAUUUUCUG